UCUCGCGUUCCAAAGCUGCCCGCGCUUUUCGCGCUUCGCCUCAGGGAGCUCUCGCCUCGUAAAGCAGCUUAGGGUAAAGGCACAGACACCUAAGCAGGCGUGAGAUCGUUGUGACGCCAGGAGGGAGACCCCAAAAGGCCGCAGUCGAAGGAAGCUCGAGUCCCGGCUGCUGUCGGCCUUCCCUGAGGGCUUUGGCUGGGCUCCUCGGGCCGCGCGCCAUCUGAGCGCAUCCCGCCUCACGGACCUUGUCCUGCCGCGCCGACCCGGUCACCCUGUUGCCAGAAUGAACUCAAGUGGGAAAAUGGCUCAGCAGGACCAGGCAUACAUAGCACAGACCACUUCUGUAGUUUCACUUGCCAUUGACCUCUAGAUAAUUGACCUUUAUGAGCUUCCAGAGUCUGCUUGGCUCCUGCAGAACCGUCUUGGAAAUGUCGAGGAGUUGAUGUGCCUGAGGUCAGUCUCAACCAACAGAGGAUUGAAGCCUGUGGAUGAAUGCCCCAGCCCCUUGUCCUUCAGGU